rnacentral:tRNA from 1 species
AAAGACUUAGGAUAAUAAGACCAAAAGACCUUCAA